rnacentral:rRNA from 1 species
GAUGAACGCUGGCGGCGUGCCUAAUACAUGCAAGUCGAGCGAACAGACGAGGAGCUUGCUCCUCUGACGUUAGCGGCGGACGGGUGAGUAACACGUGGAUAACCUACCUAUAAGACUGGGAUAACUUCGGGAAGCCGGAGCUAAUACCGGAUAAUAUAUUGAACCGCAUGGUUCAAUAGUGAAAGACGGUUUUGCUGUCACUUAUAGAUGGAUCCGCGCCGCAUUAGCUAGUUGGUAAGGUAACGGCUUACCAAGGCGACGAUGCGUAGCCGACCUGAGAGGGUGAUCGGCCACACUGGAACUGAGACACGGUCCAGACUCCUACGGGAGGCAGCAGUAGGGAAUCUUCCGCAAUGGGCGAAAGCCUGACGGAGCAACGCCGCGUGAGUGAUGAAGGUCUUCGGAUCGUAAAACUCUGUUAUUAGGGAAGAACAAAUGUGUAAGUAACUAUGCACGUCUUGACGGUACCUAAUCGGAAAGCCACGGCUAACUACGUG